rnacentral:rRNA from 1 species
GUCGAACGAGGGUCCUUCGGGACUCGAGUGGCGAACGGGUGAGUAACACGUAGGGAACCUGCCCGUGCGACCGGGAGAACUUUCGGAAACGGAAGCUGAUACCGGAUAGGGACAGAGACGGCAUCGACUCUGUGUUAAAGGAGCUGAAAGGCUCCGCGCACGGAUGGACCUGCGGUGCAUUAGCUAGUUGGUGAGGUAACGGCCCACCAAGGCGACGAUGCAUAGCCGGCCUGAGAGGGCGGACGGCCACACUGGGACUGAGACACGGCCCAGACUCCUACGGGAGGCAGCAGUAGGGAAUUUUCGUCAAUGGGCGCAAGCCUGAACGAGCAAUGCCGCGUGAACGAGGAAGGUCUUCGGAUCGUAAAGUUCUGUUGAAGGGGAAAAAGAGCGGAGAGAGGAAAUGGUCUCCGAUUGAUAUUACCCUUCGAGGAAGUCACGGCUAACUACGUGCCAGCAGCCGCGGUAAUACGUAGGUGGCGAGCGUUAUCCGGAAUGAUUGGGCGUAAAGGGUGCGUAGGCGGCCUGCUAAGUCUGGAGUGAAAGGUACCGGCUCAACCGGUACAGGCUCUGGAAACUGGCGGGCUAGAGAGCAGGAGAGGGCGGUGGAACUCCAUGUGUAGCGGUAAAAUGCGUAGAUAUAUGGAAGAACACCAGUGGCGAAGGCGGCCGCCUGGCCUGUUACUGACGCUGAGGCACGAAAGCGUGGGGAGCAAAUAGGAUUAGAUACCCUAGUAGUCCACGCCGUAAACGAUGAGGACCAAGUGUUGGGGAAGACCAGUGCUGCAGUUAACGCAGUGAGUCCUCCG